UGUGUGGGAGGCAGUGGGCAGGAAACCGAGAGGGCUGGGGGCUAGGAGGACAGGGAGAAUGCAUCUCCUGUUGGUCACAGUCCUUCUGGGUGCUCAGACACCAGCAGACCAGGCUUGGGUUAUGCUGAAUACCCUUCCGUGAUCGAGCCGUCGGAAUCAGCACCCAGUCCAUGCACAAGGGCCCUUUCCUUAGACCACAGUGCAGCCACCACACCACAGACCAAAUGCUGAAGCCUUCAUACAGCAUAGAAUGGAAACUUCCAGAAUGGUGAACAGCUUGGUGAGCAGAUGCAGCCAGAGAAUGCAACCUGCCUUUCUGGAGAUUUUCCUGCCCACAGGGUCAGUGCUCCCAGAAGCCCCCCGGGCAGGAGGUGGCUGCACGCGUGGUUUGCGGACAUGGUGAACAAGAAUGGAUACCGUGAUGGAUUGGAAACCACCUUUGCUACAUAUCUGCACACCAAGUGAACAGGUCUGUGAAAAUACUGACAAGACAAUGACAUUCCACGAAACCUGCCUAUUGUGUAUGAGGAUCUUGGACACACUUACAGUUAAAAUAUGCCUCCUUGGCUUAGCAAGCCUUUGCCACCAAAUUGUUAAUAAAUAUAAUGAUAAAUAAA